rnacentral:misc_RNA from 1 species
GGGCGGGGAGACAGGCUCAUGGCGGAAGGCAGUUUGAGUCGAUACCUUGUUUGAUCCGUAUCUUCAUCCCGAUGACCGCUUUAAGGCACAUAGGAUGCCGACUUUCCUCCUUCUACUCCUCGGACUAACGGCAGGAUGCGUCAGGACCCAGGAUAGUAGUGAGGGGGUCCCCGCAGUGGUCGCCGCUCCCUUGAAAGGCACUGGCGGGUACGGCGACCCCUGCGUGGAUAGCUGCAACCCGGACACUCACACCAUCUGUGACAACAAGACAAAGACGUGCAAGUGUGAUCGCCACCACCCAGUCCCCAUCAACGGCGAAUACUGCGUCAAGCCUGCAUUACUCGGGAAGCCAUGUAUUCACGAAGACCAGUGCCAAUACCACGAUGUUCACACCAUAUGUAUCGAGUACGACUUAAAUUAUACCGAAUGCAAGUGUCGCGAUAAAUACGAGGUCAAGGUCAUCGAAGGUCUGCCCAUUUCAGAUCUAUGCUUCCCAAGCUUAGAAGCCCUGAAGGCAGACGUCCCCACACUACUGGGUCUGGGUCUAGGCAUGUCCGUGUUGUCUGCCCUCAUCUGUCUUGUGCUCAAGAUCUUCGCCCGUGCCCGCUUUGUUCGCCCUCGUCGUUAUGCAGACGCCCGUAUUAACCCACCCCUCACGGUCUCUGAAACAUACGCAGCCUUUGCCCUGGCCGCCAAUGCCUCCACCAGCAGUAGCCCGGCCAGGGAUAGACACCAUUCCCUGCGCUCUACCAAAUCCGCAUCCUCAUCCCGAAGACCUUCCUACAGCUCCCUCCAUCCCCAUCGUCCAGGCACCAGGAGGUCUUCACAAGCAUCGCUCCGUCUGGUCGCAGGGGAGGGCCGUGGAGAACCGAUUGGAUACUACGUGUGCAUUAGGGAUCCUGCCUCCGUACAUUCUAGAGGAGGCUCCAGGCGCCCAUCUCAGGCUUCUACAGCAUCAAGUUCUGGGGACCUUCGUGAGGGCCGUGUCCAUCAUUAUCUUUAUAUGAGACCCAAUUAUUCCCUAACCUCAGAGGCCACUACCACCACGGGCACUUCAGACUCAUCUCCACGAACUCCCAAAAGUACAGAACAACUGCUGGCUGUGUACCACUCUGUGCCAGAGGGGGCGCCUGGCACACCACGCAAACCACCGCCCCCCAACACUCCCACCAAGGAUGGCCCUUAACAGACUCUUCCUGUUGAACUGAAAACUAAUCAUCUACAACUGGACAAGAAUCUCUCGGAGAAAAAGCAUUCAGUCCUGGAGAUGGGAGGAGUAGGGACUUCCCACACCACAUCCACCCUCGGUACAUCCAGC